CAGCAGACACAUUCCAGCCAAUCAGCAGCAGACCCUCCCUCCCAUACCCUCCCACCUCCUGGACAGCAUCCAUUUUACAUUCAUUGUGAAGCUGCAUUCUUAGUGAGCUGUCCAGGAGGUGGAAGGGUCUGGGAGGGAGGGUCUGCUGCUGAUUGGCUGGAAUGUGUCUGCUG